rnacentral:misc_RNA from 1 species
UCCGAGUUGACCCCGGCAGUCCCCUCAGAGUGCCCGGCAUGACCCGGUAGCAACAAAGGGCAAGGGUUGCGCUCGUUGCGGGACUUAACCCAACAUCUCACGACACGAGCUGACGACAGCCAUGCAGCACCUGUGCAUCAGCCCCGAAGGGAAGACAGCUUUCACUGCCGGUCUAAUGCAUGUCAAACCCAGGUAAGGUUCUUCGCGUUGCGUCGAAUUAAACCACAUAAUCCACCGCUUGUGCGGGUCCCCGUCAAUUCCUUUGAGUUUUAACCUUGCGGCCGUACUCCCCAGGCGGUCGACUUCACGCGUUAGCUUCGUUACUGAGAGUGUCAAACCCCCAACAACCAGUCGACAUCGUUUAGGGCGUGGACUAC